rnacentral:lncRNA from 1 species
CCGGUAAGAAGAAUAUAGACUCUGAUUUUGUACUCUUGUUUUUCUUUUUCUAUGGUGGAGUCAACUCAUCUCUUGCUUUGAAUGCUUGAGUGUAGGCAGAAUACAAUCCCCAACUCUCUUUUCGAACUCUGUAGCUUGUUCUGUGCCAUGCUUACAAAUUUUGUUUCAACUCUGAGAAAAGAAAGGAAAGUGAUUUCUUGAAAAAAAAAAAAAAUUAAUCUGUAAAGAAAACUGGGUUCUGUUACAAUUCUGAGUGUUCAUGGUGUUUUAACUCCUUGUUUUGAUUGAUCUAGCUUGCGUUCAUACGAUAAAAACCUUGUUUUUCUCCAUGUCUGGGGUUGGAUCGGAAUGGUACCAGUGGAGAUUUUCAGCGGCAGCUUUCAUUGGUUUACUUCUUGUAGCCUCGGUGUCUGUUUCAGCACAAUCAACUUUGAAACCUGAAGCCACAAGUGCAAAUAAAAUUGACCAUGUUGAGCCUAAGAAUGUAAUCAAAGUACCUACUCAUAAAAUCCGAUCAGGCUACAAACAUGUUUGGCCGGUAAGUUCAGUCUAAUACCAUCACUUAAUUUUAGAUGUAUCCUUCUUUUUUCUUUUUGCCUUUUUUUUUAAUGUCUCUGUGUGUGUAUUUUCUAUGCUGUGACAUGGACUACAUAUCUGACACUUAUGAAAUUGGAUUUGAUAGGAUAUAAAAUUUGGCUGGAAAAUUGUUGUGAGUAGUAUAAUUGGAUUCUUUGGGGCAGCAUGUGGGAGUGUAGGUGGUGUUGGUGGGGGUGGCAUAUUUGUUCCUAUGCUUAAUCUGAUUAUUGGAUUUGAUCCAAAAUCAUCUGUAGCACUAUCAAAAUGUAAGUGAAACAAACCCCUCUUUUGCGGAUUCAAUCUUCGUUGUUCAAAACAAUCAUAUGCUUACUCUCAUAAUCAUUUUAACUCUCAUGCCUGAGCAGGCAUGAUCACUGGUACUGCGGUUGCUACUGUUGUCUACAAUCUAAGGCAAAGGCAUCCCACACUUGAUAUGCCCGUUAUCGACUAUGACCUUGCACUUUUAUUUCAACCCAUGUUGGUUCUGGGGAUCAGUAUUGGAGUUGCUUUUAAUGUGAUUUUUGCUGAUUGGAUGAUCACAGUUUUGCUAAUAAUUCUAUUCAUAGGUAUAUUUUUUUUUUUCUAGUCGCACUCCUCUCUCUUUUAGCGUUCUUUUCCGACGGGUGCUUUGAUAGAGCAUUGGUGAAAUGCAGGGAUGUCAGCCAAGGCAUUCUUGAAAGGAGUCGAGACUUGGAAAAAAGAAACCAUAACCAAAGUGGUAAAAUUCCGUGCCCAGCGUUUGAAUUCUUUGGACUCAUUUAUGCUAAUUGAGUCUAACUUUCUUCUGUGUCUUGCUUUACUUGUUUUGAUUCUCCAGGAGGCCGCUAAACGCUUGGAAUUAGAUAGUGAGUGGAUUUACAGUUUUUUCUUUCUUCAUUUUUCUUUUUCCAAAUUCAUCAUCCCCAAAAUAAUUUAAUUUAUUAAUCAGGAAAUGGGGAUCAAGCAGAAGAAUUCAAAUGUGAACCUGAGAAUUUAAGUAAUACAACUCCAAAAGAAACCAAAGAACCGGUAAAAUCGGAGGUAAGAGCAUUUGCAAUGCCUGCAACGGUUGUAUCAAAUAAUUUUCAAUAAGGACUGAAAUCAGUAACUAUAUAUCAGGUCUCUAUUCUCAAGAAUAUAUAUUGGAAAGAACUUGGACUUCUUGUUGCCGUUUGGGUUAUAGUCCUUGCAUUGCAGAUUGCUAAGGUAAUCAUUUGCUUUGUAUUCACAAANNNNNNNNNNNNNNNNNNNNNNNNNNNNNNNNNNNNNNNNNNNNNNNNNNNNNNNNNNNNNNNNNNNNNNNNNNNNNNNNNNNNNNNNNNNNNNNNNNNNNNNNNNNNNNNNNNNNNNNNNNNNNNNNNNNNNNNNNNNNNNNNNNNNNNNNNNNNNNNNNNNNNNNNNNNNNNNNNNNNNNNNNNNNNNNNNNNNNNNNNNNNNNNNNCAGUUGAUGCAUUCGUUUGAGGUCAACUGAUGAAAAUCUUGAAUGUUUUGGACACAGAAUUAUACAGCAACUUGCUCAGUGUUAUACUGGGCAUUGAACUUUUUACAGGUACCUCCACAAUCGAAAAAUUGAAAAUAGAAAACCUGGGAUUGUUCAUAUAUCACGAUUAUUAUUUAUUAAUCAUGUGGCUUCUCAGAUUCCAGUUGCCGGAGGAGUUAGUGCAUACGAGGCAGUUGCUCUGUACAAAGGGCGGCGGACAAUUGCAUCAAAGGGAGAUGUAGGAACAAAUUGGAGACCACACCAGCUUGUGUUUUACUGCGCUUGUGGUAUAACGGCUGGUGUAGUUGGUGGACUACUUGGUCUUGGUGGGGGAUUCAUUUUAGGCCCUCUUUUCCUGGAGCUCGGAAUCCCUCCUCAGGUUCAUAAUUCUUACUCUCCGCAUGGUUCAAGAUAUUAUUUGAAGCAUACCCUGGACUCGAGCUUACGCGUCUGUGCCUGCCUAACUUGUUAAGGCCUUCACCUUCCAUGCAGGUUUCUAGUGCCACGGCCACCUUUGCCAUGACAUUUUCCGCGUCAAUGUCGGUUGUCGAGUAUUAUCUUCUGAAGCGUUUUCCAGUACCUUAUGGUAACUUGUUAGCCAAGUAUCAAUGAAAUUUCACAUUUACAUUUUUUGGGUCAUGCAUCGAAUUCAGACCAUGUAUUUAUCAUUUUGGAUUUAUCACACAGCUCUCUACUUCUUUGCCGUCUCCACCAUUGCGGCCUUUGUGGGACAACAUGUCGUGAGAAAGCUGAUCAAUAUACUCGGCAGAGCUUCUAUAAUCAUUUUCACUCUGUCCCUCACAAUCUUUGUGAGUGCAUUGUCACUAGGUAUGAUAUCUCAUUCCUCAUUCAUGCAGGUUUUUAUUGUGAUUUCUCGCCGUGGAUUGUGAAAUUGCUACAUAUGAAGAAUACUUAAACUGAUGAAUGAUUUUGUUCCUUUACAAACGUACAGGUGGUAUAGGCUUAGCCAAAAUGGUCCAAAGGAUUGAUCGCAAGGAGUACAUGGGAUUCGACAGCAUUUGUUCGUAUACAUGAAGGUCACAAAAAUUGAAGGACUAACAUCUAGGGAUGAAGUAUUGGAUUCAAAUAUAUAUCACUUGUUCUGACUAGUUAUAAGUAAUUUCUUGGUUAAAAAAAGGAUUGUAUAAUUGUAAUUUAUCUAUUGAUUCAUUACCUAUUUAAAUGAACGAAAAAGGGAAAGAAGAACAAAUCACAUUAGCUAGUAAAUCGAUCAAAGCCUUUCCUUUAAUCGAGAAUAAUCUUCAAUUUUAUUCUCCAAUUAAUGGAUAAUUCACAGGUGAAAAGAUUGCUUUUAUUAAACACCAAGCUUCGAGAGAGAAUAAGAGACUCUCAAGGUUGCAGAGAUAAAAUCGGAUCAAAUAAUAACUUAAAUACAUGUAUUGAUGCUGAAAUCUGGUCGAGUUAGAGAGAGACCAGACGACUACGCUAACACUUAAAUUUGUAAUUGUUUGGGGAACGGCUUUGCACUGCAACCUUACCACGUGAGCAUACUACUUCGACCUUAAACUGGCUAAACUGGACCACCUGCACUCACAAAACUCCGUUAAAGGGGUGCUAGAUGUUUUUCCAACAAUAACCCUUCGAUGCUCAAGAUAGUAAUCGGGCCUCUGUGAAAAAAAAACUUGUGCCACAAUUUCGAGGCUUAAUUCUAAUUACUUUUGAACAUAAAACUUAAUUUUAGAAAGAAACAAGACAGUGAAGAAUAGAUUAUCUAAAAACCUCAAAUUGGCUAAAGUGGACCACCUGCACUCACAAAACUCCGUUAAAGGGGCGCUAAAUAUUGUUCCAAUAAUAAUCCUCCGAUACUCAAAUUAAUAAUUGGGUCUCUGUGAAAAAACUUGUGCCACAAUUUUGUGGCUUAAUUCUAAUUAUGUUUCAAUAUAAAACUUAAUUUUAUAAAAGAAACAAGACAGUGAAGAAUAAAUUAUCUAAAAAGUAAGGAAGAAAGAGAGAGUACUCUCUCUUUGAAAGUCAGGAAAAAAGUUAUCCAACCCCCUUACCUUCGUCCUCUAUAGCCUAUAUACCCAACCCCACAAUCAUUGGUUCCCUCAACCCCACAAUCAUUGUUGACUUGGUGGUGCAGUCAUGGGCAAGUGGAUUUCGUGUCACAACUCUUUGGGGAUUUCCCACGUGCUGGCAACUGCUGUUGAGUGGGCUUCGUGCCUGAGCUCUUUGGAGAUAACCGACACGUUGACCUUUGGCCAUGUCUUCAAUCUGACUUAAUUUUGGUCCCUCCUCGCGCACCUUCUGAUAUGUCGUACUCGCUUGAUCAGCUCCCAUGUUUCGUCGGAUGUGACUCUCCUCAAAGAGCAACCUCAUAUCGAGGAGAGCUCAUUCUGAUCGAGCAUUCCUAGUCACGAUAUUUCUCACCCUAAACAGCAUGUACUCCAAACCAAAAAAUGCAAUAAGUUUUGAUAGCUAGUUAAUUAAUUUAUCUUUUUAGUCCCUUGAGUUUGGCCAAUCACCCAGUGUAUUUCUGUAUUUUAAAGAUUUAUUUAAAAUGAUUGGGUCAAUAAUUUCAUCGUAAAAAAUUUUCUACUCUCAUUGAAGACGAUCCUUUUGAAGCCUUUCUUUCUUGUAUUUACAAUUGCUGCUUGGAUGCUCAUAGAUGCAUGUGAAUUUCUUAACCCUUGCAAGUAUGAAAUGUAAUUGAUAUUGAUUCAGAUCAGAGUGUCGUAUUACGCCUACAUCAAUAGCUUAUGAGUACAUUUUUUUCAUUCAGAAAAGAACGUGAGAUUGUUGUUUUAAUAUUUAAAAAUGUUUUAUAAAAAAUAAUUUUUUUAAAUGUGAGAAUCUUGUUCGACGGACAGCUGUGGGUCUACUGAGAAUGAGUCCAUAUCCAGGACCAAAGGGAGCUCAAAUUCACGACACGACGUCGUGUAGAAAAUUCUGGGCUCCGCUCAUCUUCAACCGGAGAAUUGGGGAGAGUUAAAAAAAAGGGUUAAGCUUUUCACACCCUACAAAUUUUCUUAUAGAACCCCGCUAUACAAGUUAUUCCAUUAAAAAAAUUCAAAAAAUUAAAAUAAUUCUAAUAACAUCCUCAAAAUUCCAAAAAUGCCCCUCAUAUCUAUUCGUCUGCCUUUUCGUUUUGUUUCUUUAUUUUUAUUAUAAACCCCAUAACCAUAAAUAAUAAUCUUUAAUUAUCUGUACUUCGCCUCUCACUAUUUAUAUAAACUAGUUCUCCCUCUCCUAAUUUUCAACUCCACAUGACCAAAUUGACUGUCGUUUUUAAGAAAAUACACAAAACACAAGUUUAUUGAUAAUCUAAGAUAAUGCUAAAGGGUAAAAAAUUAAAAAAAAAAUUGAAAAAUAGACAUGGUUAUAAGAAGGUUAUAAAAUACCUCAAAAUAAAUGAAUCCUUAAUAAUAACAAAAAUUUCCUUUUUUUUUUUAUGCCAGUGUUUUGUAAAUUUUAUCCCCCUAAUAAAUUUAAAAAAAGAAAAAAGAAAAAAGGAAGAAGAUCAAGAAGAAGAAAAGCCUAGCACAGUGAAAGAGGCGAAUAUCAACGGGGGUAUGUACAGUAUUUUAACAGGAGAAAUAAUAUAUGGCAUCUCACUUCCUCAUCCUUUUGGGCUAAAAUUUUUAUAAGAGAGGUGUUAUAAGAAAAUUUUGGGGGUGUGAAAAGCUCAACUCGAAAAAUAUAAAUUCUUCAAAAUUGACUGUUUUAUUCACAUAUAUUUUGAUAUUAUUUGAGCUCAAAUAUAAAAUAAAAUGACCAAACAAACAAAGUGGAAGUGAAAAACGGUUUUGUAGGGAGUAAAUGUAAUUUCUUUAGUGUAAUGCUAAAGUUGCUAUUUGUAAUUGUUCAUUUUUCCUUUGUGUUUUGAUAUUAUGUGACUCCUUUAAUUAUGCAACUUGAUUUGUUAUUAAAUAUAGUAGAACUUCGUUAAACAAAUAUUCGAUAGAUUGAUAACCUCGAUUAAAUAAUAGUUUUUGUUAAUCCUACUUGGGGCCAAUGUGGUAAAUUAAUAAUUUGAUAAAUUUAUUAGAUAAUAGAUAUUCAAAAAAUUCCUAUUUUUCUAUAGAGGUCAAUCAAUACAUAAAUUAAUAAUUAACUAAUUUGAAAGUAAAUACAUAUGAUAUGUCUACUUUUUUUUUUUGGGUACUGGCAUAAUAACUUAUGCAUUUCAUUGGUCAUUUUGCUUUCUUUACACUUUUUAAAUGUGAAACCAUGGGUACUGGCAUAAUAACUUAUGCAUUUCAAUGAUAUGUCUACUUUUUUUUUUUGGGUACUGGCAUAAUAACUUAUGCAUUUCAUUGGUCAUUUUGCUUUCUUUACACUUUUUAAAUGUGAAACCAUUAUUAUAUUGUAUAUGCUAUUUAAGAGAAAUAAGAAAGAGAGAUCGGCUUGCUAUAUUGUCUCUAAAAAAUCUUCUUCGAUGAGUUACCAUGCAUUCGUGAUCUAGUAAUGCAACCAGCCAAAGGACUAUCAAGUGAUUAAUUCACUCAAUCAAAAUCAAAACAAAAUUGUAUCAAACAGCUUGACAGAAUGUCUACUUUUUCUAAUUAUAGUACCUAUAUCUUCAUAAAUUAAUAAAUUAUUGAUAAAUUAAUCAUUAUUAAUUUGUCAGUAUAUUAAUAUUUGCUAAGUUAAUAGAUUUUUCAUGGUCUCAAGGUUAUUAAUUCAUCAAGAUUCUGUUGUAUAAAUAUUUGAAUAUAGUUGUUAGUUUCAUAUUUUAUUUUGAUAAACCGUUAAGGACUUGACUGAGUGGUUUUCAAACAGUUUUAUUUAGCUGAUUACCUGAGUUUGAAUCCUAAUUAAAAAAGUAGGGAAUAAAAUUUGAUUUAAACUUUGUCCAUCCUUAUACUUAAAAGAAAAAAAAGACGCACAUCUACAACAUGGAGUUUUAAAUGGUUGAUAAACAUUAGUUAAUAAAUAAAAUUCGGUGUCCAUCUGCUUAAAAUUUAAAUAGAAUCUCCCUUGGCUCUAGUACCACAUCUUGCAGAACAAUGCAAAAGUAGGCUAUCUAAGAAAGCCAUGCAUGAAGAAUAAGAAUUAAUUAAUGAGCCAGCAUGGCACUCAAGCAUCUGCAUAUAUAAAAGGGUCUCGUGCUCUAAUUGGAAACCAACACCCAACAUUCUUUUGCCCAAUGUGAAAGGGCAUAUCCGCAUAUGCAUAUAUAAAAAGGAUUUCGUGCACUAAUUCGAGAACAACACCAAACAUUCUUUUGCCUAAUGUAAAAGGCGAUUCCGUAGCUUUAAUAUCUUCCGUAAAAAAAGGUUGCCUAAUCUUAUGACCUUAUCGCUGGACAAUGGUUUGUAUAUUUAAACCAGUUUUGAAUUAGAUUAACUGUGAGUUAUGUUGGUCAAGGCCUGUCAUCUUUUAUUUCUAUAUAUGCUUUGCAGAAACUUUGAUAAUUAAUCAGACUAAUUUGAUUUAAUGUUGUUUAUUGGCUUGCAGUGGCGUGAGGAACUCUGUGCGGUCUUGAUGAAAGAUGAGAGAAAGAUAAGAGAAAUAAAGAAGAAAAAGGAAGAGAGAGAGUGGGUGGGUGGAGAGAGAGGAAAAAUUUCUCUCGUCUUUCUCUCAUCUUUCUCUACACUAAACACAACUCAUACACACACACACACACGUUAUUACUAUGGCAUUUCGACCUACUUUUAUUUGUGAUUGAAAUGGAUGCUUUAGAUCAAUAGUGCGUUUACUAAACAAGAAUUGGAAAGUGGUCUUGAUAAUUAAAAAUUUUACUCUCGUUGAAAACCUUUUAAGCUUAUAUUUCUUUUUUUUAGAAUUGCUUAGAUGUUCAGCUAUGUAUGUGAACUUCUCUUUUAACUCUUACAAGUAUGAAACAGAAUCGAUUUUGACUCAUAACAGAGUGUCUUCAUACGCACACACCAAUAAUUUAUGAGUGCAUUUUCUUCAUAACGUAGAGAUGGGGUUGAGAUUGCUAACUUUUUAAAUGAUUACGACUACGAAACUAACAACAUUAAUUUGUGGCAUAGAUGUUACCUCAUAAACCAAGACUUUGUAAAAGGUGUUUGCAUGCUUCGACAGCACUAUCCAGCAUAUCCGUACAAAAACUGGCUGGAUGAUCGAACAAGCUUCAUGCAUGCGCUCAAUAGACAAUAGUGAGUCAUUCAUCAGCAUGAAUUUAGUUGAGGAUCCUACAAAGCAAACAGUUUUAUAUUAUGUGGACGAGGGGCAUUGUCCAGACAAACUCAGACCUAUUUCGACUUAGUAUUAUUGUGUAUUUACACAUAAGAGUAAUAAUAGAUAUUCCAAAUUUUUUAUCCUAAAUUUUAUUUUAAAUGAUAUGCCAUUUAUUAAUUGGUUGAUAUUUUUUUAUAAGAUGCAGUGAAUUAAUUGUAUUAUCUUCACUAAGUAAUCGAUGAAUACCACAUUGUUUAAAAUAGUUUUUCAGAAUAAAUAAUUUGAGAUGUGAAGCACUACUCUUAGACAUAAUAUUCUCUUAAGCAUGCUCAAACUAGGAAAUAUUCGAGAUCAUUAAUUUCGAGGUCGUCUAUAAUUGAAUCUAAGAAUCAGAAGAUUAGUGGGUUUAUUUUUUCAACGAUUCCCCUUUUUUUUUAAUUACUUUUAAUUUUUGUUUGUAUUAUUGCAAUGAAGUGUGUCAAAGACAAACAAACAUGUUUAUCACGUUACGUUGCCCAAAAGGAAGUAAAAUAUAAACAAGACAGCAUACUACACAUGUGUAGUGGGUUAUCUGAUUCUUUCACCGAGUGCUUCUUUGUGUAGAAAAAUUAGGUUUGCCCCCAAAUACAAUCUCUGAUACGACCUGGAACUGAUUCUACUUUUGGAUAACUUAAAUAAGGUGGCAUGCUACACGAUGAAUAUCUUCUCGUUUAGAAUAAAUUCCUUAAAUCCUAAUUCUCAGGCUAAAGCAAUAUUUUUUUAGUCUUGAUUCGAGAUUAGAAUUAACUUUCGGGGCCGAAUUUUGCUUUGCAGGCUUUUACUAACUGGUUUACUUGAUAAGCACGAUAGCACGAGGGGGGUAGGAUUUGAUGCUUUGCUUCUGCGGAAACAGUUUGACCCAAAAAUUUAAUAAAUUUCGAGUGCGUUUACCUAUACGAUUAGGCCAUCAGAAUUUAAAACAGGAAUGAUUAAUAAUACUUGUUAAAGUAGAAGGUAAAUGGGAAUUUGAUUUCCGUGAAGUUGGGAUUUAAAUUCUCAUUCUUUAAAUUCCUUAUUUUACCCUCAUUAGAUUUUGAAAUCCUCAAAUUGCCCUCAAUUAAAUUUUGUUUCUUUUACAUUUUGGUCCUUACAGAAGUUUUGUAAUAUUUACAAAUAGAUUCUCAUUAAUUAAUAAUAAUAAUAACAAUAAUCAUCAUCAUCAUCAUUAUUGUUAUUUGUUAAUGUCAUUAUUAUCAUAAAAAUUUCUUAUUAAUAAUAAUUAUUUUGAAUAAUAAUAAUAAUCAUAAUCACAGUUAUUAUGUAAAUAAUAACAAUAAUCAACUAAGGUCAUUUUAGUAACUUUUAAUAACUUAUUCCAAUUUUAAGAUAAAAUACACACAUUAAUGGUAAUACAACUCAUUUUGAUUCCAUUUAUGAUUCCUACGAGUAAAUUAAAUGAUUUAUUUUGAUUCUCAUUCUUCAUUCGAAUUUCAACCCAUACUGAUUUUAGUCCAUUAUGAUUAUUGAUUAGUAAACGUAACAUUAGUGAAACUUGCAACUAUAGUAUAUCCGAUCACUAGUUGUACGCAAUACGUGCUGCAGCAACUCACGUAUGUGACAUCUCAAUUGGCAAAACAUUCUGGGUGGUACAUGAGACUGGAUUCGACUCUCCCUGAACUCGAGAUAAUGUCCUAAAGAAAACGCUUAAUUAAUAAUCUAUGGCUAAUAAGUGAAGGAUCAACAAGAAUACUUAAGGGAAGUUAUUCUUAUCAGCUUCUUUGAUAAGGUAUGCUAUGAAAAUGAAGCAAACCCAACUUCUGCGACUGAGUAUAAAGUUGAAAACAAUGUCCAUUAUUAAGUGAUUUUUGUUGUCAUGUAACAUUCGGUCAUGUAACAUUGCCGUUGCCGUAGAUGAGGAGCUUUUUUUUUUUUGGUCUUGGUCGAUCAUUCUCCUAUUCGUUGUUAUGAUGUUCCGUAUUCAAAUAGCGGAGAUUCACGAAGAAGUAUUGCGCUAUUUACCAGUGAGUGGUAUCAAAAUUCCCCAACAGCAUAGAGCUUUCCAAGCUCGGAGCCGCUCAAGAUCCAAACAACAAGGAGCACAAAUUAUUUAUGAGACAUUACUUAGUGUAUGUGCUGUGUGUAAAAGAAAGUAAAAAGAGACAGAGACACAGGAAGAUUCUUAGAAACUUAAAUUACACUCAAAUAACUUAUUAAUUAAAAACAAAGAGUUUGUAGUUAUUCGUUCAGGUAAAAUCACUGGUAGCAGCACUCAGAGAGACUCUUGCAAAUUAAGUAAUACGCACACAGUACAAAGAGAUAUAAGAGCAGUCUUAACAUUUUCAACUUUUAUUUUUAACUGCUAAGGAAUCUAAAAAAUGUUCCAAAAACUUUGGAGAGUACAGAUAACAAAAAAUUCGGUGCCUGUAAGAAUACAUAGGCACUGUAUUCUAGCUUUAACUCUUAAAAAGAUUUUUCAACUUUUUUAUUUGAAAUAUUUUUUUAACGGUGGAGUCAACUCAUCUCUUGCUUUAAAUACAUUAGUGCCACCAUGCAAUCGCCAACUUUCUUUUAGAACACAGCAACUGGUUCUGUCCCAUGCUUACAAAUUUGGUUUCAACUUGGAGAAUUUGAAAAGGAGCUGUUUCUUGAAACACAGAAAAAAUUUUAAAGCUACAAAGAAAAGGAGAACUGGGUUCUGCUCAAAUUUGGAGUGUCCAUGGUGUUUAGCUUCUUGUUUCGAUUAUUUUAGUUUGCGUUCAUACGAGAGAAAGCUUGAUAUUUUGAGAAAAAAAUGUCUCGGGUUGGAUCAGAAUGCUUUCGUUGGAGACUGCUAGCUGCAGCUUUCAUUGGUUUACUUGUUGUAGCUUCAGUAUCUGUUUCAGCACAGUCAAAUUUGAAACCUGAGGCCACAAGUGAAAAUAAAAAUGACCAUGUUGAGCCAAAUAUUGUGAUCAAAGUAUCUGCUCCUAAAAGUCGAUCAGGCUACAAACAUGUUUGGCCGGUAAGUUCAGUCUAAUUCUAUCAUUUAAUAAUAGGUGUACGUAUCCUUCCUUUUUUUUUGUAUGUGUGUGUUCGUUUCUCUGUUGUGACAUGGACUAUAUAAUAGAUACUUUAUGAAAUUGGACUGACAGGAUAUAAAAUUUGGCUGGAGAAUUGUGGUGGGUACCAUAAUUGGAUUCUUUGGGACGGCAUGUGGGAGUGUAGGAGGUGUUGGUGGGGGUGGCAUAUUUGUUCCUAUGCUUAAUCUGAUUGUUGGAUUUGAUGCAAAAUCAUCGGCAGCAGUAUCAAAAUGUCAGUGAAACAAACCCUUCUGUUGCGGAUACAAUCUUCGUUUUUUAAGAUAAUCGUAAACUUACUCUCAGAAUAAUUUUAACUCUCACGUUGUGUAAUUUCUUUUUUUUUUUAACCCUCUCGUCUGAGCAGGUAUGGUCACUGGUGGUGCAGUUUCUGCAGUUGUCUACAAUCUAAGGCAAAGGCAUCCUACACUUGAUAUUCCCGUUAUCGACUAUGACCUUGCGCUUCUAUUUCAACCUUUGUUGGUUCUGGGAAUCAGUAUUGGAGUUGCUUUCAAUGUGAUUUUUGCUGAUUGGAUGAUCACAGUUUUGCUGAUAGUUCUAUUCCUGGGUAUGUUCUGUUUGAGUGGCACUAUUGUUUUUCCAGUGUUCAUUUUGCACGAAUAUUUUGAUAGGACUUUGGUGAAAUGCAGUGUUGUCAACUAGGGCAUUCUUGAAAGGAGUUGAAACUUGGAAAAAGGAAACCAUAACAAAAAGGGUAAUAUUCCAUGCUCAUUGUCUUUAGUAACAUAAUUUAUAUUCCGUUUGUUGAUUUCUAGUGAAUUAUUUUAUGUAUAAUUUGUAACUUGUCUUUUUUGUGAUUCUCCAGGAGGCUGCUAAACAAUUAGAAUUAAUAGGUUUGGAGAUUUUCAGUUUUUCUAUCUUCCUUUGUUUUGCAAACUGAUUAUUUCCCAAAUUAAUUUAAUUUAAUUUAAUUAUUAGGAAAUGGGUAUCAAACAGAAGAAUGCAAAUGCGAUCCUGAGUAUUUAAGUAAUGACACAACUCCAGAAGAAACCAGGGAACCUAAAAAAUCAAAGGUAAGGGUACUUGUAAAGCCUGCAAUUUUUCCAUGAUAAAAUAUUUUUAACACCAAUAUCUGUAACUUUAUCAGGUCUCAAUUAUUGAGAAUAUUUAUUGGAAAGAAUUUGGACUUCUUGUUGCCGUCUGGGCUAUAAUCCUCGCAUUGCAGAUUGCUAAGGUAAUUGUCUGCUUAAUUUUUGUUUAUUUUUCCUUCAUUGGAUGUAUACACUUGAGGUAAACAGUAACUGAUGAAGCUCCUGUAUGUUUUGGACACAGAAUUAUACGACAACAUGCUCAGUGCUAUACUGGGUAUUGAACCUUUUACAGGUACAUCCACAACUGAAAAAUUGAAUAAAAAGAUCUGUGAUUGUUCAUAUAUUAGGAUUAACAUUUGCAUUUUUCUCGUCUUUCAGAUCCCAGUAGCCGGAGGAGUAAGUGCAUACGAGGCAGUUGCCCUGUACAAAGGGCGGCGAAAGAUAGCAUCGAAGGGAGAUGAAGGCACGAAAUGGAGAGCAUCCCAGCUUGUGUUUUAUUGUGCUUGCGGUAUAACGGCUGGUAUGGUUGGUGGACUACUCGGGCUUGGUGGAGGAUUCAUUUUAGGCCCUCUUUUCUUGGAGCUCGGUAUCCCUCCUCAGGUUCAUAAUUUCUAAACCCCGCAAUGUUUGAGAUAUUAUUAUUCAAAGCAUGCCGUCAACUUAAGCUUACGCAUCCAUGCCCGAUUAACUUGUCAAGGCCUUCCAUGCAGGUUUCUAGCGCCACAGCCCUCUUUGCCAUAACAUUUUCCUCAUCAAUGUCCGUUGUAGAGUACUAUCUUUUGAAGCGUUUCCCAGUACCUUACGGUAGCCUACUAGCCAAGUAUCAAUUAAACGUAAAAUGUUUUUGACCAUGCUUCGAAUUCAGACUACAUGUGUAUUUAUCAUUCUUUAAUGAUUACACAGCUCUCUACUUCUUUGCCCUGUCCAUCAUUGCUGCCUUUGUAGGGCAGCACGUGCUGAAAAAGCUGAUCAAAAUACUAGGCAGAGCUUCUAUAAUCAUUUUCACUCUUUCCUUCAUAAUCUUUGUGAGUGCAGUAUCACUAGGUAUGCGAUCUCGUUCCUCAUUCAUUCAGUUACUGCGAUUUCUCGCCGUGGAUUAUGAAAUUAAAAUUUAAGAACAUUUAAACUGAUGAAUGGUUUUGCUUCUUUCAAACAGGUGGCGUAGGCUUAGCGAAAAUGAUCAAAAGGAUUGAACACAAGGAGUACAUGGGAUUCGACAACAUUUGUUAUACAUAAAGGUCACAAAAUUGAAGGACUGACAUCCAGGGGUGAAGUAUUGGGUUCAAAUGUUACUCGUUUGGACUAGUCAUACAUAAAUAAUUUCUUUGGUGAAACAAAGGAUUGUAUGCUUGUAUUUAUCUAUUAAUUCACUGCCAAUUCAAACGAAUUAAAGAAAAUAAAAUACAAUAGCUAGCGAAUUGAUGAAAGCCUGUCCUUUAAUCAAGAACAAUCUUUAAUUCAUUUUCCAAUUGAUCAGCGUUACCAUCAUGAGCCAAAGUGCAGACAAGGGAGAAUGAAGAGUGAGAUCCUAAAAUCAUAUGUAUUUUAUACAAAUCAACAUCUCGAGUUGAUCAGAUUCAUUUUCGGAGACGUGCACGCACACAUUCGUGAAUGUAAAAUAGAAUAUGCAGUUAUUUGAGUCUCCAUAUAUACUUUAGAAAUUUUGAUAGUUUAGAGAAAGAGAUAAAUUAUGGUUCAAGUUGGAUCAGAACGACGUUCAUUUGGAUUAAUAACAGCACUUUUAAUUGGAAUAAUUUUGUACUUUCAGUGCUUGUUUCAGCUGAACUAAAUAUUUGAAACAAGAAGCUAAAGAAACUCAAGAUGGAACGGGAACAAGUUAAGCCCCGGACAGUGCCUUCUUUUUUCUAUCUAGCAAAUGAAAUUUGGCCGGGAAAUUUCACAGUGUUGCUAAUAGUUCUGGCGCUAGGUAUUACGGCUUAAAUUGUAAUUUUCUUUUCUUUUGUGUCUGUUGGAUAAAUUAUUGUUUUGCUUUAACAACUAAGGCAUUGAAUUGAAGCUUGGAAAAUGGAAGCCUUCACAAUGAAAUUUAGUAUCUCUUGUUUAAUGUGAUGAACUAAUACUUAAUCUGUAA